GGAUGAGCCUACGUACCAUUAGCUAGUUGGUAGGGUAAAGGCCUACCAAGGCGACGAUGGUUAGCUGGUCUGAGAGGAUGAUCAGCCACACUGGAACUGGAACACGGUCCAGACUCCUACGGGAGGCAGCAGUGAGGAAUUUUGCGCAAUGGGGGCAACCCUGACGCAGCAACGCCGCGUGAGUGAAGAAGGCUUUCGGGUCGUAAAGCUCUGUCGAAGCGGGAAGAAGGUGGGCUAUUUGAACAGGAUGGCCUAUUGACGGUACCGCAGAAGGAAGCACCGGCUAACUCCGUGCCAGCAGCCGCGGUAAUACGGGGGGUGCAAGCGUUAUUCGGAAUUAUUGGGCGUAAAGGGCGCGUAGGCGGUUGAAUAAGUCAGAUGUGAAAGCCCUUGGCUUAACCAAGGAAGUGCAUUUGAUACUAUUUGACUUGAGUAUGGGAGAGGGAAGUGGAAUUCCUGGUGUAGAGGUGAAAUUCGUAGAUAUCAGGAGGAACACCGGUGGCGAAAGCGACUUCCUGGACCAAUACUGACGCUGAGGCGCGAAGGCGUGGGGAGCGAACAGGAUUAGAUACCCUGGUAGUCCACGCAGUAAACGAUGAUCACUAGGUGUAGCGGGUAUUGACCCCUGCUGUGCCGCAGUUAACACCAUUAA
rnacentral:rRNA from 1 species